rnacentral:lncRNA from 1 species
GUUAUUAGAAAAGAUAGCUAGCCACUUGUCAUCCUUGCUCAAAUCUGUCCAACAAAUAAGAACGUUAAAUUUGUUAUAAGUUCAAAUCAACAUUUAAAUACGAAAUACAUAUCAAUAAUACUCCCUCUGCCCCAAUUUGUGUUACAUUUUUCGAUUUUUGAGAGUCAAAUAGUUUAAGUUUCACGGGAAUUUGUGUAUGAAAUCAUAUUUUUUGAAAUGAAAUUUAUAUAUUUAUAAAUUAUUUAAAAAGUACUAUAAGUCACAAUAAUUGACAAUUCAAAAUAUAUGAAAAUUUUACAGUCAAGAUAAACUUGUUUAAAUCGGCAAGAGUACAAGACAAGAAUUCGAUUAUCGAUGCUCAAUCCGCUAAUAAUUUUUUUUCCCUCCUUAGGAGCUCCCAUCCCUUUUGCUCCCUUGGUGACUCAAACUCGCAACCUUCGGGUUGGAAGUGAGGGGUGCUUACCAUCCAAGCAACUCCCUCUCGUCAAACUCAAUCCGCUAAUAAACCCCUUCUUUGAACAAAAUGUAUACCACUAACUUCCAAAUACACAGGAAUUUCUUAAAUACAUACACAUAUAGAGCUACUCAAGUUCACAUAUCGUAGAUUUUAUACACAGUAUACAAUGUGAUUCACUAUAUUUAUCAGCUAAUUAAGUAUAAAUUUUAACAUAUAGAAGACACUAAGAAUCAAAGAAAAAUAGCACAAUUGUUUAAUUUAUUUAUGUUAACAGUUCUUUUUUUAAAUGAACAUAUGUAACUGAAUUUAAAAUAAAUAUUCAUAGUAUAGAAUUAUUUUCCUAUUUAAGGAGGAAUUAAUAUUCUAUAUUUCUUUCAAGUGAUAUAAUCCUUUCCAAUCCUCCCAUUGGCUAAUCAAGUGUCUUUAAUUCCCAGAUAUUAAUUAUAUUUAAUAUUUCGUCACUCUUGAGUUAUUUAAAAGUUUUUUUUUAAUAUAUAAAGAAAAACAAAACAAAUUUUAAUUUAUUCCUUGAUCAAAUAGAAAAGACCCAAAAUAGAUACUUCAAGAUAUAAUUUUCCUCACAUAAUUCUUUUUAAAACAAAGUAUGUUCCUAUACUAAUAAGACAAAACAUCUCAAAAUCACCUACCAACAAAUAAAAAUAUGUUUACUUCAUCGAAAUGACUUCUUUAACAAAGAAAUUGUGUCUCAUUGAUUGAUUAAAGAGAGAAAAGUCAUUAUUAUACUUGCAUGUAUAGAGAAGUACUGCUAGCUCCUAAAAAGUUGAGAAGAAAUUAAGACAAAUUUUGUGUUGUGGUACGCUCGACUUCUACUUUGAUCAAAUGAUUUGAUUGAUAAAAACUUCUACUUAAUUUUUGAGAAUUAAAUUACUUUAAGAAUCCACAGUAAACUCUGUUCUAACUUCUACUUAACAUAAUCAAAGAAAAAUAGAAAGAAAGUAAUGCUUAAAAUUACAAACUAAUUUGGAAAACAGAUCAUCUAAAUGUAAAUGAAAUAAAAUAAACAUGUAUAAUAAUUGUCCUUUAUUAUGGAUAAUAUUAUCAAAGAGGUUCGAAAGAGAGGAAACACAUAAUAUCGAAAACUAGCUAAGUACGUACUUUAAGAAUUAAAAUAAUUUAUCUCCAAACUCAAAAUGUUUGAUUUGUUUCAGAAAACUUCAAGUUCAAUGAUAUAUUGUUUAAAACGUGAAAGAACAACAUCGAUAUAUAUUAUUUGAAAGCAUCCACAUAUAUACUACUAAUAUCUAUGAGGGAAUAAAUUAAAUAAUAAAACGUACUAUGCUAGAAAUGGAAUUAUAGAAAUUAUGUUGCAAAUGCAUGCAUGUUUUGUUUAUAAUACCAAAAAGAUGUCAAUUAUAUAUAUUCCCAUGCACAUUUAACGUACCAUGCUUAAUACUAGCUAGCUAGCUAGUACUAGAAGAACCAAUGCAUGCAUCCUUUGCAGAAUUUAUCAAUUGUUGGAUCAUAUCAUGACUACUCUAUUUUCCUUCUUCCUCACUGUUUUUUUCUCAAAACUUGUUUAUACACAAAUAUUUUGGUUCCCAUCACAAAGAAUUUAUAUAUAUAGCUCGAUCUAUACACUCUCAAAUUAGUGGAAUUAAAAAUAGAGGCCUACCCCACCAAAAGAAAACAAAGUCACAAACAUACAAGUGGCCGGGGAGAUUGGGAGGGAUCGUCGGACCUUUUUGACUUAUUACAGAGUUUAAGAAUAUAAAAAUAUUUUUUUGUAUUUUAUCGUCUUGGUUAAACUAUCAAAAAUACAUCUUAACUAAUCUUGUGGUAUUAAAUUUGUCAUGUCAUUUUUAUAAGAAAAUGUAUUUAAAUAUAAAAUAAGAAUGGAUUAAGAUUAAAAACCUGCAUAGAAAAAAUAUUUUUUAAAACAAACAAAAAAUAUAAGUAAUAAGAAGCGUUAGUUGAAAUAUAUAGAUGAAUGAAGUACUAAUUACUACAUGAAAACUAGUAAAACAAAAAUAAAAGGAAAAAAAAAACAUAUUUGUGUGCUUACGAAUAUUGAGUUGAAAUUUUUGUAAAACCAGAUUCAUGCAUGCAUGGUUUUGCAUGAUAUUUUUAUGUCCUUUAGUGCAUGCGUCAUAUAUUUGUUAAUAUACAAUACUCCUAUUAAUAUAAGGGGUACGUAGCAUUGUAUUAUUCUUUCUUCAGAAUUGUUUUUAUAAUAAAAUCAAAACCAGCAGACGAUAGAUUUACAAAACAACUGCAUAUUGCGGUUUAUGGGAUUUCUGGAUUUAAUGACGAAACAGAUAUAUACUUACAUUUAGACUUGCCUUUUCUGUCAAAGAGGUUGUUUCUUUGCAACUUGCUCACUUUAGAUAUAUACAUUCAUUUAAUUUUUUUCUAUUAUAUAAGAGAGUUGAUGGUUAAGUAGCUAGGCACGUUCUCCAUCGAUGUAUACAAGGAUAUUUUCGAAAAAAGUUUUAAAAAAUUGUUUUUGGUUAUAUUUUAAUUUAAUUAGUAUAGACAAGAAGGAGUUGCUCGGAUGAUAAACACCCUCACUUCCAACCUUAAAUUGUGAGUUCAAGUCACCAACGGAGCAAAAAGGUGGGAGCUCAUGGGGAGAGUUAAAAAAUAUAUUUUAAAAAUUAAUUAAUGUAUAAAUUUUACGAAUUAUGAGACCCAUUUUAGUUAUAUUCUUAGCUUUAAAUUCAUAUAUUUUUAGUUAUAACUUCAUCACUUUGAAUGUUGCCAAUAUUUGUGUAAAUUUUUUAACUACUUUGAAUAAAAGUUUAACGAUCGAUGAAGAAAAAUAUUUUAACUAUGGACAUCCCAAUGAAUUUCUUUCACAUUAGAUUUGGAAGAAAAAAGAAUGAUAUAUAUAUAAAAACAAUUUAUUUUAGAGCAAAAUUUUAAAAUCAUUUAACCAAUACCACUUAAAAUUUAUCAAAAUUAGUAAUAUUUAUCAUGUAUUCAUUUUAUAUCUCUUAACACUAUGGGGUUUAUGUAAAUUAUACAUUUUAGGAAAAAUUACCUAAAUACACAUCUUAUUUUACCAUAAUCUCUAAAAUUCCCUACCAUUUAAUGAGAUGAUUUAAAAUUGUUUAAUUAUCAUCACUUAAAAAAUAAAUUCGUGAACAAAUAUUGGACUCGUACACAACACGACUUUUUCAUAACUAGUGUUAAUAUAAGGCUUAAUACAUUGACGAUCUUUUAAAUUUGUUAACAAUUAAAUUUUAUGUAGACAUUUGAAUUAUAAUUGACUUAUUUUGAUUGAGCACCUGAACACGAUUAGACACACUUUUGGUUCAAACUUGGAAAAUCCAUAUUGUCAUUAACACUCCAUCACGCAUCUCGUCAAUUAAUAUUAUGUCAUUUGCAAAUAAUAUACACCAUGACACCUCUCCUUGCAUACGUCAUGUUAAUUCGUCCAUCACUAAGGGUGAAAUAAAAAUAUAGAAAUAAAAAUAGGUUAAUUAAGGACUAAUCUCUAUUGCAAAUCCAUUAUGAUCGGGAAGUGUACGAUCUAAGUCAACUCCCACUAUUCUAAAUUGAGUUUUGAUUCUAUCGUACGUAUUUUUAAUUGCACUAAUGAAAGUCACAAAUACAUCUUCAGACUCCAAAUAUCUCUAGUGGACCUCCUAGGGACUAUACCAUAUGUCUUUUCUGGGUCGAUAGAUACAAUGUGUAAGUUUCUCAUCCAGCUAUAUCUAUACUGCUCUUACAAAAUUUGUAUAAACUAAUAUAACUUUUAUAGUUAAAAUUACCUCGUCAUGAAUUCAAAUUGAUUCUUGGAGAUAGACAUAUUCCUCCUCGUCCUUAUUUUGACCACACUCUCCCAAACUUUCAUAGAAUGACUAAGAAUCUAAUUGAUAUCCUUAUUAUUAUUGCAUUUCUAAAUAUCACUCUCGUUCGUACAAUUGUACUACAACGCAAUUGUACUCUACCUCAAUUCUUUUAUCAUUUUAGUUGUCUUAAAAAUGACAUUAAACAACUCAGUCAUCCAUUUCAUAUUUUUCUCGCAUGUGUUCUUUCAAAAGUUUAUCAAAUUUUAUUUGACGACUCAUUGUUCCUCUCCUCAUCUUUUGUACAACCCUCUUAAUCUUUACAGAUUUUAUGCACCUACAAUACCGAAAAUCUUUACGCCACUUGGAAUGCGCUAACUUUCCUAACUCGACAUUCAUGUCCCUUUCUCCAAGAACAUAUAGAAAUGUUUGUUAUCUUUGUCUAAUGUGUACAUUUUCUUCCGACACUUCACCAUUUUUGUUCUUAAUGCGUUUUACUUCGCUUAGGGGUCGUUUGAUAGAGUGUAUUAGAAAAAAUAAUGCAUGCAUUAGCCUUGUGUAUUACUAGUACCUUGUUUGGUACUCUUUUCCAACCUAUGUAUAACCUAUAUUGUGUAUUAAGGUGUUGCUAAUGCCAUGGAUUUCUAGGUAUUAGCAAUGCAAUGGUUUUAAUGCAUGCAUUAAUUCAAUUAAAGAUCCAAUUGUCCCUCAAAACCUUUUUUACAUCUUUUCUAUCAUAAUAGUGGAGGGUAUCUUUGUAAAUUUAAUUUUUUAUGCAAUGCAUGCUACUUUUUAAUACAUCAAGCCAAACAAUGCAUAAAAAUAAUCUAUGUAUAACUAAUGCAAGCAUACCUAAUACAUGUAUUUUUAAUACAAAUAUUACUAAUACACUCUAUUUAGCAUUAUUCUUAUACACUCUACCUCUCUUUUUGAGAGCUUGAGUUAGUUAUGAAUAACUCGAAAGUUUUCACAAAGUUUAAAGUUGAACUCCUCAUUCAUUUCUAUCCCCAAAUAUAUAAACUAAGUUUGAUAGGAUUUUACAUAUAAUUUAACACUUAUAUUAAGCUUACAAUGUAUUAUAUUAGUAAAUGCUUAAUGUAUGCUCAAAAUAUGCAUAUUGAACAUCCAUGCAUAGAUGACAUGGCAGUGCGUGCUCACACGUGAACUUGAGCGCGUGAUUGCCGGUAGAAAAAGAAUACAGUGCAUUAGUUUUUUCAUCCAAUACCUCUUCAAAUUUGGAUUUGAUCAAAUGAUCUGAUUGAUUUUUAUAUUUUUCAAAUCAAAUUUAUGUUCUACUUCCGUUAUUUAUUUUCUAUUUUCUGAUAUUUUUGCGCACAAUUUUAAUUAGAAACUCGCAGACUUUUUCAAAUUGUCAUUAGGUCAUUUCAAAUUUGAAAUUCGCGAACCAAACCAGUAUUUGAGUUUGCGAGAAUUCUGUAAUUUACAUUGCCACUAUUACAAAAAUUAAUAUUCUGAAAAAGCAACCCAAAAUCUUUACAAUAAUAAAGCAGGUUACAAUUCAUAAAGAAUAUUACAAGUAAUUUGUUGGCUCAGAGAAAUUUUCUACUUGUUCUACAUUUCUAUUUAAUUAUAUUUAUUAUUAUUCCAUGAAAUUUCAAUUAACAAAUACUAAGCAAAGCUUUUAACAAUAAGGUGGGGGCAGAAGGAUGUGUUAGCCUGUGCUGAUUAUGAAUAAAAAAUGAAAAGGUAAUUUGCGCCUUGGUGGCACUUUUUAUUACAAAAAUUGAGAAUGUAAAGUAAAAAAGUCAAUACAAUCAUUCUCUGAAAUUGAUUAUGUAAUUAUGAAUACAAAAGUUAACUGUAUCACAUUUAUUCUCUGAAAUUGGUAAUGCAAAAUUGUAACUUAAGGCCUUAAUGAAUAAUGAGAAUUAUUCAACCAUUAUGUUCACAAACUAAUGUGUUGUUUAUAAUUUCUUCACCAUAACAGUCAAUUUCCUAUGUUUAUAUAUUUGGAUGUCUUCUUCGUGAGAGAUAAAACACACAAAUAAAUACAUUCUCCUUCAUUAAAUCUCUCUCUCAUUAGCAUUCGUUUCUGGUAAAUUUUGGUUAAUUGUAUUUGUGCAGUUCUAAACUUUCAGCCACAAAUGCGCGUGUUUGAAAGGGCUGAAACCUUGAGAACUCAUCAUUCUUUCCAACGCUCAGCCUUAGCGAUUUGCAUUAAAGUCAGACCCAAAUUGCAUUCAAAACAGUGGCUUAUCACAACUUAAUAUUACGAUUAUAACAAAUUACUUACUAUUUAUAAUUUAAAUAUCAAAAUUGUACUUUUCUAACACACCUUAAAUAGCAAUGUCCAAAUAUACUGCUCACUCAUAAUUGCUUGUUAAGGUCAAAAUUCAAACAUGUAUGUUUAAGUUUCAGAUAUGCUUGUUUGAAGUUAGAACAACCAAUUUCAUCCCAAACAUUUUUUUUUCAAUAGCAUCCGCUUGAUCUAAACUCAUUUUUUGUAUAAUUGUAUUCGAAUAAGACUCACUUCAAGUUUGCCAUAAUAGUAUUUUUAAUGCUGAAAAUGAUUACUCCUAAUGUAAAAUUUUGACAAAGGUAGCCUCACCUUAAAUGCAACUCUCAUUUUCAAUUUAAUUGUCUUACUUUCUUUUUUACUUCAUUUCAAAAACAAUCUAUCUCCUUUUUUUUUUAACAAUUCUUUAAUUCUAAUUUACCUACGAGAUAAAAAGAUAUUUUGAUACAUUUUAUAUAUCUUUAAUUUAACACUACAAGAAUAUUUUUUAAAAUUAUUUUUUUAAAACUUCGUGUCAAAUUAAAAUCAAACAAACAAUACCUAGAGAGUAGCACUGAACAAAUAGGCAACGAGUUGAAUUACUUCCCGGAUAGAGUUCUCCAACCCUACACUCUAUUUUACUCUCCAAAUAUAGAGUUCUCUAUUUUUUUAAACAACCAACUCCAACCCAAUUCUCUAUUUUACUCUCUAAAAAAGAAUCUUUUUCUCUCUCCUCAAUAUUAUAUUAUUAUUUCUAUUUCAUUCUUAUUUCAUAAUAUAAAUCAUUUAUUUCUUUUUCCCAAUAAUUACUUUAUAUAUUUUUCAUGUGAUAUAAAAUUUUAUUUUUCAAGUUUUUUAUUUAAUAUAAAAUUAUAUUUUGUUCUAAAUUUUUAAAUAACAUAAAUUUCAAGAAAAUAUUAUAUAAUAUACAAAUUAAUGGAUAAAAGUGAUAUACAAUUACAUAAACACUCAAUUUUCGAAAUUAUUACGUUGCUCCCAUAAAUGCUCUAUUAAUGCAUAUCAAAGUUCAAAAUGAGCAUUUUUGUCCUUCAUUUUUUUUAUGUCUACCUAAAAAUUGUUCAAAUCAGAGAUUUUCAUCUACCACCAUUUUUGUCGUUGGAGUUGGAGCCUCUACGACAUCUUAAAUUGGUGCAUUAAGAUCAUGUUCAUCCUCAAUUAUCAUGUUGUGCAGUAUAAUACAUGUAGUCAUUAUAUCAUGUAGCACUUCCUUUCUCCAAAAACAUGACGGUCCUGCAAUAAUUGCAAAACUCCGAAUGCACGUUCAACAUCUUUUCGGAAUGAUUCUUGUUUCAUCGCGAAUUAAUUAUUAUGUCAUGUGUUGUAUUUUAUCUUGUAUUCAAAUUAUUAUGUUACGUAUUGUAUUGUUAUCUUGUAUUUAAACUAUCAUAUUAUGUAUUGUAUUUUUAAAUUAAAAUUUUCAUCUUAUCAUUUUAGUUUUGUGUAUUUUUUAUAGUGAAAAUUAAUAAUAAAAUUAUAUUAUAUUGUUGACAAUAAUUAGAAAAAAUAAAAUAUUAUUAAUUCAGGAUGAAAGUAGUAUAUAUUAAAUAAUAUAUAUUUUUAAAUAUUAUAUUACAUUUAAAAAGAAUUAUGAAUAUUAGAUAUUUAAUUAAUAACAUUAUAUGUAAAAUAAUAUGUUAAUUAGAAAAUAAAAGAAAUAAUAAUAAAAUAUUCAAAAAGUAAAAUAGAAAGUGUGAAUAGUAGUUCUCCAAGUUCUCCAAAUUUGGAGAACUACUAUUCACCUCUCUAAAUAUGAAGAAUAGAGAAAGAUAUGGAGGUGAGUUGGAGUGUCCAUUCUCUAUUUUACUCUCCAGAUAUAGAGAAUGGAGAGUAAAAUAGAGGCGGGUUGGAGAUGAUCCAAAGGGAAAAAUUAAUGUUCCAAUACGUACGCACGUAUAAUAUUAGAUCAUCAUUCUCUCUCAUGGCGCGUGGACCACACCCACUUGAAUCUGAACACAGUUACACUAUCAGAUUCAACUAUCAAGACCGACAAUUACGGAUUGAGCCCCUCCAUUACUCUUUCCUUCCAUUUCGUCAAGUACACAUCUAAAUGAGAGACAUGUGUAUUAUUUAAUUACUAAAGGUCAAAAUUAUGUUGCAUUAACUAGUAUCAUAACCGUAGUUAAGGAAUAAGUUUUGAACAAAUAAUUUCUUAACUUUGGUAAGAAAAAUAUUCCUACAAAUCUUAGAACAGUUUAAUUUCAUUUUUUAUUUCUAUAUUCAAAUAUUAAUAUUGUACAUUAUUUAAUCGGUUCCUAUGCUAGCAAAUUUAUUCUUGAAAUAUUAGGUUGAGAAAUUUAAAAAAUAAAAGGAAGAAUUAUCAUUGAUGAUAGAAAUCAUAUAAUAAAAAUGGGAAGUAAAAAUUGCAUUAGAAUUACAAAUGUGAAAGUAUAAAAAAAAAAAUCUUUUUAAAAAAUAAAAUAAAAGAAAAUAUCAAUUUAAAGGUAAAAUAUUUUGUAAGACUACCGUUAGGCUAAACAAAUUAAACGUUGUUAAGUUCAUGUUCCAUAAUUUUAAUAUUUAAUUAUAAAAAUAUAAAAUAAAAUUAAUGACAUAAAUAUAUGGAUACGAAAAAUUGAGAAGAAUUAAUUAUUCUUAAAAAAAAUUGGAGAGAAUUUUUUCCAAAACUUAUUCACUUAACUAUGGUUAUGAUACUAGUUAAUGCAAUAUAAUCUUGACCUUUAACAAUUAAAUAGUACACAUCUCUUUCAUCCAGAUGUGUACUUAACGAAAUGGAGGGAAAGGGUAAUGGAGGGGAGCCAAAUCCGACAAUUACCAAGCCUAAAAUGAUUCACUCUUUGGCUAUUCAUGUAUGACUAUAUACAAUAUUCUUCAUUGGUUAUAGUCAUAGUACCAUAGCAUUAUACGUAUAUAUAUUCAUUACAUUACACAUAUACCUGGAUAAAUAAUUAAAACUCCAACCAUAUCUUCAUAUUUUCCUCCUUAUAAAUAGGGAGUAAUUAAAAGCCAUAUGGAACAUAAAGGAAGAAUAACACAAUAUGGUGGGAAAAAUGAUAGGGAGCUCAGCUUCACCAAAUGGUUCAUUUACUAGCGCCAUGACACUUACUAAAGAGGAACUAACCUGUGUUCCCAAGCGUUAUAUCCUUCCACCAUCCCUACGGCCCAAUGGAGCCGAGUAUAACACAUGCUUGCCAAUUGUGGAUCUAUCCUAUCUGCAACACCCUCUUGUUCGGCCUCAGAUAAUCCAGGAAGUACACCUGGCUUGCAAGAAAUUUGGUUUCUUCCAGGUACUACUUGUCAUGCACUGUCGUGUCGUGUCCAUGUCACCUGCAACUGCAUACUAGAUAAGAAAGUGUUACCCUAUUCGUUUACUUUGUUCCUUGCGAUAGGAUCCAAAUAAGGAAAAAGAUGUCGUCAGAUCAUCAACAUAUAGAAAGAACUUAAUGUCACACAUGGUGCAUUAAGGUUCUAGGUCUCAUCUCCUUUGUCUUCUCAUUAACCUUUAUUUUCAGAUUCACUUAAACAAGUCAAUGUCCAAGAUUUCAGCUACUUAGGUUGUCUUGUUGAAGUGUGUGACCAUCUCAUCUAAAAGCUUAAGCUAUUAGAGAGAGCACACUUUUAUUAUUUAAUUAUAUUCUCAACACGCCCCCACACGUGCGGGCCUGAUUUUUUUUCAUGGGCCAAGCACGUGGAAAUUCUUUUUUGAUUUGGGUUGGCGGUGAGAUUCGAUCUCAGGACCUCUGCCUGCUCUGAUACCAUGUUGAAGUGUGUGACCAUCUCAUCUAAAAGCUUAAGCUAUUAGAGAGAGCACGCUUUUAUUAUUUAAUUAUAUUCUCAACAUGUCUAAUAGGAAGAAAAAUAUGACGUUCUUCACAAAUUCAGCUGAGCGUAAAAUAACACCAUGCAUGCAAUAAAUGAUUCUGCAGGUAGUUAACCAUGGAAUCCCAAUGUCAGUCAUGAAAGAUGCUAUAGAUGCUGCGAGCGAAUUCUUCAAUUUACCAACUGAAGAGAAAAGGCAUCUCUUGUCUUCAAAUGUUCAUGACCCCGUAAGAUAUGGUACCAGUCUAAAUCAUGUCAAAGACAAAGUAUACUUUUGGAGAGACUUCCUCAAGCACUAUGCUAAUCCAACCUCAACUUGGCUCGACUUUUGGCCAUCAAAUCCCACAGCUUACAAGUAAGUCUUUCAUUUUCUUUACUGAAUAUUUUUAGCAGAAAAGUUGUCUUGUAGAUUCAACUUCUUACUGUUCAAGAACGAUAUAAUUUCUUCAAGAUCCUAAAGAAAUUCUUCAUGCAGGAAGAAAAUGGGAAACUACACAGUGGCAGCACAAAAGUUGCAAGAAGAACUCAUGGAGGUGAUAUUUGAGAGCUUAGGACUAAACAGUAAUUACUUACAUGAAGACAUUGCAGAAGGUUCCCAGGUCAUGGCAGUUAAUUGCUAUCCAGCAUGUCCUGAGCCAGAUCUUACACUAGGAUUGCCACCACAUACAGAUUAUGGUAUGCUAACAAUCAUUCUUCAAAACCAUCUGGGCUUGCAAAUCAUGGAUCGAGAUGAAAAGUGGCAUUCAGUUCCACUCAUUGAAGGAGCUCUCAUUGUUCAAUUGGGAGAUCAAAUGGAAGUAUUGAGCAAUGGCAGAUACAAAAGUGUUCUGCAUCGAGCAACAGUUAACUCAGAAAAAAAGCGCAUUUCGAUUGCCAGCCUUCAUAGUCUAGCUUUAGGUAAAAAAGUUAGACCUGCAUCAGAGCUUGUCAAUGAACAACAUAUCUUGUCCUAUAAAGAAGGAAGCUUCAGUGAUUUUCUAGACUUCAUUU